GCUUGGGUGGCUUAGUCGGUUAAGUGUCCGACUUCAGCUCAGGUCAUGGUCUCGCAGUUUGUGGGUUCGAUUCCCACAUCAGGCU
rnacentral:tRNA from 1 species